UUCGAUGGAUAGGGGUUCUGAGAGGAAGGUCCCCCACAUUGGAACUGAGACACGGUCCAAACUCCUACGGGAGGCAGCAGUGAGGAAUAUUGGUCAAUGGGCGCUAGCCUGAACCAGCCAAGUAGCGUGAAGGAUGAAGGCUCUAUGGGUCGUAAACUUCUUUUAUAUAAGAAUAAAGUGCAGUAUGUAUACUGUUUUGUAUGUAUU
rnacentral:rRNA from 1 species